CCUACGGGUGGCAGCAGUGGGGGAUAUUGCACAAUGGGGGGAACCCUGAUGCAGCGACGCCGCGUGGGUGAAGGAGUGCUUCGGCAUGUAAAGCCCUAUCGGCAGGGAAGAAGCAAGACGGUACCUGACUAAGACGCCCCGGCUAACUACGUGCCAGCAGCCGCGGUAAUACGUAGGGGGCGAGCGUUAUCCGGAUUCACUGGGUGUAAAGGGAGCGUAGACGGCCAAGCAAGCCAGGGGUGAAAGCCCGGGGCCCAACCCCGGGACUGCCCUUGGAACUGCAUGGCUGGAGUGCGGGAGGGGCAGGCGGAAUUCCGUGUGUAGCGGUGAAAUGCGUAGAUAUACGGAGGAACACCAGUGGCGAAGGCGGAUUGCUGGACAGUAACUGACGCUGAGGCGCGAAAGCGUGGGGAGCAAACAGGAUUAGAUACCCCUGUAGUC
rnacentral:rRNA from 1 species